GCUCCUUGGCUUCUAGUAUCACUCGCUAAUAUACACAGGGACAAAGGGUCGCGGGAGGGGUGUUUCGGUCAUUCUGGACAGGUCCACCAGAACCAGGAGGCAGGUGACAGACCCGCGGCAUUCCCGUCAAUUUCGACAAAAAGAAUGUGGGACAGCCGGACAGGCGAAGAAUCUGGGCUAUGAUGCGGCUGCCGGGCGCGCGGGACGUCGUGGCCGGAAGAUCACCGGCGCGCCGUACUGCGGGUAGAGGAGCAUCAGGACCGUGGGCGCGUGGACGUAGUUCGGGGACGCCCUGAUCUCGAACCGCUGAAGCAGGACCGCCACGGUGAGCUGGGCCUCCAGGCGCGCCAGGUUCUGGCCGAUGCACGCCCGGGCGCCAAGCCCGAACGGGAUGAACGCCAGCGGGUGCUUCGCCGCCCUCGCCGCGCCGCCGGCGAACCGCGCGGGGUUGAACUGCGCCGCGUCGGCGCCCCAGAGCCUGGCGUCGUGGUGGAUCGCCAUGAUCGGGAUCAGCAGCUCCGUGUCGCGCGGGAUCAGGCACCCGUUGGAGAGCUGCACGUCCGUCUUGGCGCGCCGGAUGGUGGCCACCGCCGGCGGGUACAGCCGCAGGGUCUCGUUUAUGAUCAUGCCCACCUGCCAGCCACGAGGAGAACAGACUCUGCGUGUCAGCGGCGGCUGGAACUGGAAUGACGGGAAUGCCCACGGCAGGAGGUUCCGGAAGUUGCUGCGGUGAUGUGGCAGUGGGACUCACUCACCGUCUUGAGCCUUGGAAGGUGCUCCUUGGAGGGGAGCUCGUCGGGGCCCAAGACGUCGAGGACCUCGCGGCGUGCGCGUUCCUGCCACUCCGGGUGCAUGGCCAGGAGCACGGUGGCCCAGGCCAGGAGGUUCGUCGUCGUCUGCUUCCCGGCGAAGAAGAACGUCUUGCAUUCCUCCAGCAUGUCCGCCACCGGGAUCGCCCCCGCCGGCGGCGUCUUCCUCUCGCCGGCAUUGAUCAUGGCGCCGAGAAGGUCGCGGAACCCGCCGGAGUGGCUGCCCAUCUCCUCCUCCUCGGCCUCGGCCUCGUCGCUGCGCCGGGCGAUGAGACGGGUCAGGCUCCGCCGUAUCUCCCUGUCCAGCUUCCACGACUGCCAGUUCUUCUUGGUGGGCAAGAACCUGCAAACAACAACGCGUCGUAUCGUGGUAA
rnacentral:misc_RNA from 1 species